ACUAAUAUGCAUUAUGUUAUACGCAGUCGGUGGAGGCGUCUAUCAAGACAUGGUCGUUUGUGGAGGCGUCUGAGGCAAAGAGAUUAUGAGUUGCUUGUUUCUAUAAAUCCGGCUAUGUUUCUUCACGUUGUCAACCAAAAUUUGGCAGGCACUUGGAUGAGGAGGUACAUACUCGAAUAUAAUGGUUAUGGAUGGGGCCGUAUUUUGUCUCGUGAUCGUGCUUGGUGCACGAGAUGCCAGUGCCCCGUGUUGGUGAGAGAGCUAGCACAGUAUAGUUGCAUCCAUGGGGAGGAGGCUAGGAGGCAUCGCUGCAUCCCAUUGACAACAGAGCAAGUGGUGAACUAUGUUAUCAACAUGGCCCAACCACACUAGAUGCAUUUUGAUAUUUUACUGUGAUAUGUUUUUUAAUAUCAAUACCCUUAUAUUUUUUGUGAACCCUGAAUGUUUUUCAUUUUCAUACGUAUUAACUUCAAAAAGGAUUUACAAGUAUUAAAUACGUACUUUGAUGAUAAAAUUGUACGUGGUUAGUUUGGGAUCCGCUAUAAUUGAAUUCUAACUCGUUUACUUUGUUA